rnacentral:rRNA from 1 species
AGUGAACGCUGGCGGUAGGCCUAACACAUGCAAGUCGAACGGCAGCACAGUAAGAGCUUGCUCUUACGGGUGGCGAGUGGCGGACGGGUGAGGAAUACAUCGGAAUCUACUUUUUCGUGGGGGAUAACGUAGGGAAACUUACGCUAAUACCGCAUACGACCUACGGGUGAAAGCAGGGGAUCUUCGGACCUUGCGCGAUUGAAUGAGCCGAUGUCGGAUUAGCUAGUUGGCGGCGUAAAGGCCCACCAAGGCGACGAUCCGUAGCUGGUCUGAGAGGAUGAUCAGCCACACUGGAACUGAGACACGGUCCAGACUCCUACGGGAGGCAGCAGUGGGGAAUAUUGGACAAUGGGCGCAAGCCUGAUCCAGCCAUACCGCGUGGGUGAAGAAGGCCUUCGGGUUGUAAAGCCCUUUUGUUGGGAAAGAAAAGCAGCAGGUUAAUACCCCGCUGUUCUGACGGUACCCAAAGAAUAAGCACCGGCUAACUUCGUG